rnacentral:rRNA from 1 species
GACCCCAGGUCAGGUGAGACCACCCGCCGAGUUUAAGCAUAUUAAUAAGCGGAGGAAAAGAAACUUACAAGGAUUCCCUUAGUAACGGCGAGCGAACCGGGAAUAGCCCAGCUUGAAAAUCGGUAGGUCUUGCCUUCCGAAUUGUAGUCUGUCGAAGCG